GAUAUGGCUGUCGGUUUGUUAUGACAGGCGCUGGGCCGAGUGUAGUGUAAAAUCAACAAUCUUCUUUAACACAAUUAUCGGUGACAAUUAACCCAGAUGGAAUGGUUUAAAUCUCGGCCGGAAUAGUAGAGUGUGGCCCAGUGUAAAGUGAGUGGGUGGCCAGCGAUGGUGGUGGAGUGUGCUUUCCGACGGACGAUGGGUUAUGGAUCUUGGAGUCGUCCUUCUUUUCGUAGUUUUGCCUAUCUAGCGGAGCUCCAGAGGUCUUAAUUGGAUUUAAUGAUCGCGGAUCUCAAGGAACAAAGUCGUCCUGACUAACCUAAAUAGCCUAACCUAAAAUAGCCUACUUACAAUUGCUCGAAGAGCCCUUCUCCUAUAUAACAUGGUUCCAAAAUUCAUCCCCUAACGUCGAUGAAACGUCGUCCCAGAUAUCGUCGUGAACAUCAUUACUUAAUUGAGAGCACACUUUCUGAGCUACACAGAGAUUUGGCUCAUGAAUGUUCACUCGGAAUGUAACUCAGAAGCAGGAAGAUGACCCUUGUAUUCCACGUCGUCAGGUGUGUUAAAGAGCUUUUUCCAGAAUUUUUGGACCUAAGGAUUAAACCAAAAUCAUCACCCCUAAAACAAAUACUCAUUAAAGCUGCUCUCAAGCGAUUGUGCUUGAUGCCUACACAAGAAUCACACAAGAAUGAUUCUACCAACUUUUUACGGACUUAAUCAUUUAUUUUCCAAAACAAUUCUAAUUGGACUAGCGGUUCAAGUGCAUGGGAAAUUUCAACCGGUCAUUAAAAUUACGAACGGCUUAGGAAUUCACCUUUGUACCUACAAACCAUUUAAUUGGGGAAAUACCAACUGGUGUUUGCAACCGCUCACGGUGGUAAUAAGGCGAUACUUCUGAGGCACGGCAAGGAAUACAAGGACGAGACAAACAAUGACAUGCAUCACGACGAGAUUGGGGCCAAAAUGAAAAAGGAUCCGUCUUUCUGGAGGAGAAGUCGAGUGGAGAGGGUAAGACGAGCAGGUGCACCGCGAUGAAAUGGAUACUGCCCAGUUAUCUACUGCCCAAGUUAUCUGCAAACGUCGGACCGAAACUUUAAAGAUUUUAACCUGGAGAAAUGAAAUUAUACUAAAGUUCAACCCAAACGUGCUUGCACAUUUUGAUUCUUAUUUGUACGUGUUUCGGGGAAGCCAAAAGUUUAUUGUAAAGCAAACAAUAAAUAAAUCGUACUACAAGUU